GAUGAACGCUGGCGGCGUGCCUAAUACAUGCAAGUCGAGCGAACAGACGAGGAGCUUGCUCCUCUGACGUUAGCGGCGGACGGGUGAGUAACACGUGGAUAACCUACCUAUAAGACUGGGAUAACUUCGGGAAACCGGAGCUAAUACCGGAUAAUAUAUUGAACCGCAUGGUUCAAUAGUGAAAGACGGUUUUGCUGUCACUUAUAGAUGGAUCCGCGCCGCAUUAGCUAGUUGGUAAGGUAACGGCUUACCAAGGCAACGAUGCGUAGCCGACCUGAGAGGGUGAUCGGCCACACUGGAACUGAGACACGGUCCAGACCCCUACGGGAGGCAGCAGUAGGGAAUCUUCCGCAAUGGGCGAAAGCCUGACGGAGCAACGCCGCGUGAGUGAUGAAGGUCUUCGGAUCGUAAAACUCUGUUAUUAGGGAAGAACAAAUGUGUAAGUAACUAUGCACGUCUUGACGGCACCUAAUCAGAAAGCCACGGCUAACUACGUG
rnacentral:rRNA from 1 species